rnacentral:rRNA from 1 species
CCUACGGGAGGCAGCAGUGAGGAAUAUUGGUCAAUGGCCGAGAGGCUGAACCAGCCAAGUCGCGUGAGGGAUGACUGCCCUACGGGUUGUAAACCUCUUUUGUCGGGGAGCAAAGCGAGUCACGUGUGACUCAUUGAGAGUACUCUCUGAAAAAGCAUCGGCUAACUCCGUGCCAGCAGCCGCGGUCAUACGGGGGAUCCGAGCGUUAUCCGGAUUUAUUGGGUUUAAGGGGUGCGAAGGGGGAGGUUUAAGUCAGUGGUCAACUUGCGGUGCUCAACCCAGUACUGCCGUUGAUACUGCAACCCUUGAGUACACGUGAAGUAUGCGGAAUGCGUGGUGUAGCGGUGAAAUGCAUAGAUAUCACGAAGAACUCCGAUUGCGAAGGCAGCAUACCGGCGCGCAACUGACACUGAUGCACGAAAGCGUGGGUAUCAAACAGGAUUAGAUACCCGUGUAGUC